rnacentral:misc_RNA from 1 species
GGAAGUAAAAGUCGUAACAAAGUUUCCGUAGGUGAACCUGCGGAAGGAUCAUUCAUAAUAAGUGUUUUACUGCACUUUUUAAAAAUAGUACUCACCUUGUUUACAAUGUUGUGUUUCUUUUCGGAGAAAGACUUACGCCAACCUAUAACCUUGAACCACUUUGUCUGAGAAACUAUGACGAAUACUUAAUACAAAAUACAACUUUCAACAACGGAUCUCUUGGCUCUC